GAAAUGCGAUAAGUAAUGUGAAUUGCAGAAUUCAGUGAAUCAUCGAAUCUUUGAACGCACAUUGCGCCCGCCAGCACUCUGGCGGGCAUGCCUGUUCGAGCGUCAUUUCAACCCUCAGAACCCCUUGCGGGAUCUGGCGUUGGGGAUUGGCAUCCAGCCAGCCCCGAAAUCUAGUGGCGGUCCCUCCGCGACCUCCCCUGUGCAGUAGCGAUACCUCGCAGCGGGACAGCGGUCUGACCACGCCGUAAAACCCCCAACUUCUCAAGUUUGACCUCGAAUCAGGUAGGAAUACCCGCUGAACUUGAGC
rnacentral:misc_RNA from 1 species